GAUGAACGCUAGCUACAGGCUUAACACAUGCAAGUCGAGGGGAAACGAUAGAGAAAGCUUGCUUUUUCUAGGCGUCGACCGGCGCACGGGUGAGUAACGCGUAUCCAACCUGCCCACCACUUGGGGAUAACCUUGCGAAAGUAAGACUAAUACCCAAUGACGUCUCUAGAAGACAUCUGAAAGAGAUUAAAGAUUUAUCGGUGAUGGAUGGGGAUGCGUCUGAUUAGCUUGUUGGCGGGGUAACGGCCCACCAAGGCGACGAUCAGUAGGGGUUCUGAGAGGAAGGUCCCCCCACAUUGGAACUGAGACACGGUCCAAACUCCUACGGGAGGCAGCAGUGAGGAAUAUUGGUCAAUGGACGAGAGUCUGAACCAGCCAAGCAGCGUGCAGGAUGACGGCCCUAUGGGUUGUAAACUGCUUUUAUAAGGGAAUAAAGUGAGUCUCGUGAGACUUUUUGCAUGUACCUUAUGAAUAAGGACCGGCUAAUUCCGUGCCAGCAG
rnacentral:rRNA from 1 species